UGAACGCUAGCGACAGGCCUAACACAUGCAAGUCAGGGGCGAGCACAAGGAGCAAUCUGAGGUGGCGACCGGCGCACGGGUGAGUAACACGUAUGCAACCUGCCUGUAAGCGGGGAAUAACCCGUUGAAAGACGGACUAAUACCGCAUAAUACUAAAUUACUGCAUGGUAAUUAUUUAAACAUUUAUGGCUUACAGAUGGGCAUGCGCAUGAUUAGCUAGUUGGAGAGGUAACGGCUCCCCAAGGCAACGAUCAUUAGGGGUUCUGAGAGGAAGGUCCCCCCACACUGGUACUGAGACACGGACCAGACUCCUACGGGAGGCAGCAGUGAGGAAUAUUGGUCAAUGGACGAGAGUCUGAACCAGCCAAGUCGCGUGCAGGAAGAAUUGUCCUAUGGAUUGUAAACUGCUUUUGCAGGGGAAUAAAGUGCAUCACGUGUGAUGUUUUGUAUGUACUCUGCGAAUAAGGAUCGGCUAACUCCGUGCCAGCCGCCGC
rnacentral:rRNA from 1 species